rnacentral:rRNA from 1 species
UACAGAGGGGGCAAGCGUUGUUCGGAAUUACUGGGCGUAAAGAGUGCGUAGGCGGUUCUUGAAGUCCGCUGUGAAAGCCCCGGGCUUAACCUGGGAAUGGCAGUGGAAACUGGAGGACUUGAAUUGAGCAGAGGGGGGUGGAAUGCCGCGUGUAGCAGUGAAAUGCGUAGAGAUGCGGCGGAACACCGAUGGCGAAGGCAGCCCCCUGGGCUUAAAUUGACGCUGAGGCACGAAAGCGUGGGGAGCAAACAGG